CUUCAGUUGAAAAUACGAAAAAAAAAAGUUGCUCUUUAUGAUAAGUCGUAGUACUUUAGGGACGCUAUAUGCUACUUGCAUAGAUGCAUGCUAUGAUAAUUCACAUAGAACCCCACCACACUCCUAUAUUCUAUUACAAUUAUAAUUCAUUUGUGCUGUUUAUCUUAGUGACAUUUGACAUCUCUUUUGUCUUAUUAGACGUCCUGCAAGAAUCAAAUCUGCAUGGGUCUGCCUCAAUCAGCAACUGGACUACCUCAUCCAUUGUUGGGCGGAGGGCUGGGUUGUUGCAGGUACAGCAGCUAGCAAUGCGCAGAACCUGGAUCAUCUCAACCAAGGACCCCGACAGUCGUUUGUCCAAUACCUCAAUAACUCCUUCAUUGGUGUCCAUUUUCUCUGAAACCCAAUGUAUGAUAUUCUUGUUCUCUCCAUAGUCUGCUUCUAGUGGCUUCUUCCCUGUCAUUAAUUCCAUCAGCACUACCCCAAAACUGUAGACAUCACACUUUGUCGUUGCUUUAGAUGAAUAUGCAUAUUCUGGAGCCAAGUAACCACAGGUUCCUGCAACGACAUUGGUGGUGGAAUCUUCUCCUUCUCUAGCCUGCAUAACUUUGGCUAUGCCAAAGUUUGCAACCUUGGGCUGGUAGUUAGCAUCUAGAAGAAUAUUGGAUGACUUUAUGUUUCUGUGAAUAAUAGGUGGCAACAGAUCAUGGUGGAGGUAAGCUAAGCACUGUGCGACUCCAAGUGCUACUUGAUGACGAGUCGGCCAAUCUAGAUGGAUCCGAAAGUUGUGCAGGGCGUCCCAGAGGUUUCCAUUUGGCAUGUACUCAUAAACCAACAUGCUGUAAUCCAAACUCGAGAAGUAACAGUACAAAUUGACUAUGUUCUUGUGACUUAUACUGCCUAUGGUCUUAGCCUCAGUUUUCAACUCCUUGUCCCAAAGCAACCGAUCUUCUGAAGCCGAAUCUUUUAUUCCCUUACUCCACAGCCUCUUCACUGCAACAGUUUCCCCACUGCUCAAAUCAAUCCUGUACACCGUUCCUGAUGCUUCUUGGCCCAUUUUGUUGUUAUCAACCAUGCCUUGAAGUAUCUCUUGUUCAUAAAAACGCAUUCCAUUGAAGCUUGCAUUGUAUGAAAAGAACGACGAGGAAAUGGUGGUUUUAUGUCCAAUGCUCCAAAAUUUACGUUUUAGAAACAACAAAGCUCCUGCAAUUAUUAUUACUGCAGCAAUUCCAAUCACCCAAAUAUAACUUAGACUCUUUCGGUUAUAAGUCUCUGAGCAUAUGGGGAAAUUAUCAUCUGUUGCAACAUAGAUUGGAACACACAGAUUUGGGUUGCCAGAAAAGCUCUUUAGUAACCCACCUUUUAUCAGAGAAAGAGGAAUGGGACCAGAAAGGUGAUUGUUUGAAAAAUUAAUUGAAUAAGGUUGCAACACACUGAGACUUUCUGGAACAUUCCCAGUCAACAGGUUAUUGGAAAGAUCAAGAAUAUUGAGAGAUUUCAACAAAGAGAGUGAUUUGGGGAUGGAAGAAUUCAACCUGUUGCCUUGCAGCAUCAGUAAAUUCAGCUUUCUCAGAAAGCCAAUUUGGAAAGGCACUGGGCCAGACAGCAGAUUAUUGCUGAUAUCAAGCUUUACCAGAUUGUUAGCCCUGGAGAUUUCAGGAGGCAGAACGCCUGAAAUCUUGUUACUUUGCAAGAACAAUUCUGACAACUUUGUGGCUGUUUCAAUUGUGUUUGCAAUUGAACCACUAAAAUUAUUGCAACUCAAAUCAAUGAUUGAAACAUGGGGGAGACCUAGAAGUCCUUUUGGUAUUGGCCCCUCCAAACGGUUGUGAUUGACUCGAAACCUUAGAAGCGUCUUGCAUUUUGCGUAACUAUCGGGUAGCUCUCCAGAAAACAGGUUAUCCAAGAAUAGAAAGUAUAACAGUUUACCUCCUUUACAAGCUUCUGUUGGUAAUGGACCUGAUAGGCGGUUCUCUGACAAGUCUAGAAGAACCAAUGCUGACAGCUGCCCCAAGUUCUGUGGAACUUCUCCAGUAAGAUAGUUGUCAUAGAUUGAUAAACUGCGCAGAGUUGUUGAGUUGACAAUAGCACUUGGGAUUUCUCCAGUGAGGCUGUUGUUGUAAAGAUGCAGGACUUCGAGCUUGGGAAGGCGACAUAUAGAUUCCGGAAUGUUUCCUAUCAACUUAUUGACUGAGAUGUCCAAAUCUAUUAGCUCUGUCAAGUUUCCAAGUUCUUCAGGUAUACUGCCAGAAAGGUAAUAAUUAUAGUAGAGCUCAAGUAGUUGCAAGUUCUUCAAUGAUGCAAUCUCUGCAGGAAUUUGUCCUGUGAGGAAAUUUCCACUUAAUUCAAGAUCAAUAAGGGAUGUCAUGUUCCCUAAUGAUGCUGGGAUUGGACCAUACAACAUGCAUGUCGUCAAUAUCAAAUAUUUAAUAUUUGUCAGUCUGGAAAUGUUCUCCGGCAGUUGCCAUAAGGUAAGUCCCUCGUUUUCAUUGAGAGUAAGCAUCUCAAGAUUGGUAAGAUUAGUCACUGACAUUGGAAAGUCACCUAUGAAAAGAUUGUAUGACAUGUCAAGUACCCGAAGAGAUUUCAAUGGUGAGAAGUCUGGAAGUGUUCCACUGAGAUACAAAGAACUCAUGUUCAGCUCUUCCAAGAGAGAGCAGUUGAUGAUGCUGUGAAGGAAAUCACCAUGGAAAUGGUUGUGGCUGAGACGGAGAAUACGCAAUUCAGGCAGGUAAGAGCAUAUACUGACUGGGAAACGGCCAGAGAUUGACCAGCCAGUCAUGUCAAGUUUUUCAACAUACCCUUGACUGUUGCAGCUAACUCCCUUGAAAUUGCAGUAAGAUUUUCCUCCAGUGACAUCCCAAUCGAACAAGGCAUUUCCUGAGAGAGAAGUUCUCAUUAGAUUGAAAAUUUUGGACUGGUUUGUACUGGUGGCUUGCAGAGGGAAGGAUAGAGAUAUAAGUGAUACAAAUAGGAAGAAAAUAAACUUGGGAGCCAUGUCAGAAAGAGAGGGAAAGGUAGUUAAGAUAGUUGUUGCAGAGAAGGGGGUGAGGAAGCAGAAGUAUAUAAAUGAGAUGAUUGAGGGGAUCAUUGGGUGCAGCAGUGCAAACCCUGAUGAGAAAAAGAGGUUCAUGCAAUAGUACAGAGUGAGAAAGAGAGGUAUGCAUAUCUUUGCAUAAAGAGGCUUUACGUUAUACCCCACUAAUGUAAAGAAUAACAUGAGUGCAAGUCCUUUAUCCCGAUAAGUUUUUCUGAAUAAACUGCAUCUCAUCCUGAUC
rnacentral:misc_RNA from 1 species